UACGUAGGGUGCGAGCGUUGUCCGGAAUUAUUGGGCGUAAAGAGCUCGUAGGCGGUGUGUCGCGUCGGCCGUGAAAACCUGGGGCUCAACUCUGGGCGUGCGGUCGAUACGGGCAUCACUUGAGUCCGGUAGGGGAGCGUGGAAUUCCCGGUGUAGCGGUGAAAUGCGCAGAGAUCGGGAGGAACACCCGUAGCAAAGGCGGCGCUCUGGGCCGGUACUGACGCUGAGGAGCGAAAGCGUGGGGAGCAAACAGG
rnacentral:rRNA from 1 species